rnacentral:rRNA from 1 species
AUUGAACGCUGGCGGCAUGCCUUACACAUGCAAGUCGAACGGCAGCCCGGGUGCUUGCACUUGGUGGCGAGUGGCGUACGGGUGAGUAAUACAUCGGAACAUGUCCUGUGGUGGGGGCUAGCCCGGCGAAAGCCGGAUUAAUAACGCAUACGAUCUACGGCUGAAGGCGGGGGACCUUCGGGCCUCGCGCUGUAGGGUUGGGCGAUGGCUGAGUAGCUAGUUGGGGGGGUAACGGCCUACCAAGGCGACGAGCAGUAGCUGGUAUGAGAGGACGACCAGCCACACUGGGACUGAGACACGGCCCAGACUCCUACGGGAGGCAGCAGUGGAGAAUUCUGCACGAUGGGGCAAUGCCUGAUCCAGCAAUGCCGGGUGAGUGAUGAUGGCCUUACGGUUGUAAAGCAAAUAUGUACGGAAAUAAAUACUGGGCCAUAAUACGGUCAGGGGAUGACGGUACCUGAAGAAUAAGCACCGGCUAACUACGUG